rnacentral:lncRNA from 1 species
AGCAAACCUCGGCAUGGCCAGCUGGAAAGGUACAAUCUUAGAGCUACUGGAGAGGCACAACCUCAUGUGUAGAAGGAAGAAGAGUUACUUGCACCAGUUCCAUGCACCUGUGGGUUCCUGUUUUUCUGACCAAGUAAAGAGCCAGUAAGGAAACACAGAAGUGCAUUAUAACUGGCUAUUAAAAUCAAGUGACAGCUUGGAGCUCUUUGGAUGAAAUCAAAACUUGGAUGGCUGCAUAUCUGGGAGGGAGAGGAGACACAGCUCUCCCCCACCUUCCUUCGCUUACAUUAGGUCAGGACCUGCUUGGCACCAUCUGCAUUCUUCGUCAGCCGUUUGAGCUCCAAAAAGGAACAGAAAAGCAGAACUUCAACAUGGAUCAAGAAUAAAACAAUUAAAAGUAANGAAAUUCAGCUUGAAAGAGUGAAUGAAGAAGAGGGAUGCUGGAGAAUACUGUGAGACCCUCAGAAUGAAAUGGAAGCAAAGAUGCACACUGUGAAAUGUACUGAUGCACCAGGUGUGAACACAGCUGGAGACAUGCGGCUGGAGACUUCAUUCUGCCUUACUUAGGCUGCAUGCACACAGGUGCUUUAAAGCACCUCCCAGCUGGCCCAGGUAGUCUGUUUACACAAACCCGCCCCCAUCCAGCUUUUGGACUUCUCUACCUGCCCCAAAAGUCAUCUAAAUCCAGUGGCAGCCGGCGGCUUUAAGCCCAGGUCUUUGGGCCCUGCGCAAAGUGUGCCAUGGCUGUUCACAGGGCCUCUGGGCUUCCAUACUGCUGCAGCAUGUGACCUGGAGAUCCCAUGAACAGCCAUGGCAUGCUUUGCGCAGGACCUGGACACCCGGGCUUAAAGCUGCCAGCCGCCGCUGUCUAAACCAAAAGUGGCCAGAGCAAUUAUAAAGUCAGAGUAUGGCUUAAGAAUACUUUGCAUAUCAUAUUUUUUUUUAUUAUUGUGACUCAUUCCGGGGCCUUUUGGUGAAAGGUGGGAUAUAAAUCCUUAAAUAGAUAAUAAAUAAGUAGGUUGACUCUGUUGACUUUUGUAG